GCACUUCAUUUAUUCGCCAAGAAGUUGAAAAAAAUAAAAUUCAAUAAAUUAUGAAACUAAAUUUUUAUAUUUGAUUUUCUUGAACUCGAAAAGAUCCAAAAAAAAAGUCAUAGAAAAAGUGUUUAAAAGAUGACCGGGUGGUUUAGAACCGUUCUUUACCUCUUAAAUUGUAAAUUAAAAAUCCUUUUAUCCAUUAUAAAUGAUAAAAAUUAAUUUAGCUUGAUUUUACCACUAUGCAAGUAAUGAGAGCCUUACAGAAUUCUAAGCAUAUAACCGAUCUCUGAGCUUUACAUCCAAGUAUAAAUUGGAUCUCUUGGUUGUAUGGCUACUAAACACCAAGUU
rnacentral:lncRNA from 1 species